CACCUUACCUGGCAGGGGAAAGACACCUUGAUUAUGAAGGGGUUUUUCCCAGGGUGAGUCUCAGCCAUUGCACUCCGGCUGUGCUGACCCCUGCGAUUUCCCCAAAUGCGGGAAACUCAACUGCAUAAUUUGUGGUAGUGGGGGACUGCAUGUGUGCUUUCCCCUA
rnacentral:snRNA from 1 species